GUACCAAACAUGCAUUUUGAAGUUUGUCUUUGUAGGUCGUAUGUCCAUACCCCUUCCUCCCAUGCAUGAACCAAAUCAUCAAUCAUAGGCUCCAUGUACACACUCAUAUUAUUCCUUGGGUGUUUAGGAAUUAUCAACGACAAGAAUAUGUUCUAUCAUUGAAAGAGGAUGCCAGGGGGAAGAUUGAGGGGGAUAACGAACAUGGGCCAACAAGUGUAUGGGGAAACCGCCAUUCCAUAAGGAUUGAACCCAUUUGUUGCCAGCGCAACACGUACAUUACGAGCCUCUAGAGCUUUCUGACGAUAAAUCAUAUCAAACCUUGUCCAUGCUUCACCAUCGGAUGGAUGUACCAGCUUCUCAGGAUUGUAUCAACGUCCAUAUUUGUGUCAUGUCAUCUGUUUCGUGGAUUACUCAAUCAUAUAAAGCCGUUGGAUCCUCGGUAUGAAUGGAAGCUACCAUAGGAUCUUCACGAGGAUUGCGAGUUGCCUCUUCUGACCAUCACUAGAGUCUACCUCCAGGAACCUAGCGGAUUUACACUUCAAACAGUACUUUAACUCUGCAUGUUCUUUCCUAAAUAAGACGCAUCCCUUUGGACAAGCAUGUAUCUACUCAUAUGGCAUCUUAAGUGCAUGAAGGAGUUUACGUGCCUCAUGCAUGCUCUUUGGCAGAAUGUGACCAUCCGGGUGCAGGCUACCAAAAACUGUCAGCAUAACAUCAAAGGCUUCUCGACUCCAGCUAAACUGGGACUUUAUGGCCAUUAGGCGUGCAAUGACAUCCAGUUGAGAAGCCUUGGUAUGCCCGUGAAGGGGUUGUUGUGCUACAGACAACAUAUUGUAAUACGCCUUUGCGGUUGCCUCUGGCCCGUCCUUCCUACAUCCUUCAUCGAAGUAUGCUUCAUGAUAGUCAUUUAACAUGUAUCCUACCCCGGCAUCAGCAUCAUAGUCCUCAAUGCGUUGUCUCACGACCUCAUCUCUCACAUGAGCGGAUUCACCAUGGUAGAUCCACCGGGUAUAGUCUGCCGUAAAUCCAUU
rnacentral:lncRNA from 1 species